rnacentral:rRNA from 1 species
UUUCGAAUUUUUCGCAAUGGGCGAAAGCCUGACGGAGCGACGCCGCGUGGGGGAUGAAGGUCUUCGGAUUGUAAACCCCUGUCAGCUGGGAACAAGGUCUCGUGGUGAAUAGCCAUGAGAUUUGAUAGUACCGGCAGAGGAAGCCGUGGCUAACUCUGUGCCAGCAGCCGCGGUAAUUCAGAGACGGCAAGCGUUGUUCGGAUUCACUGGGCGUAAAGGGUCCGCAGGUGGCAAAGCAAGUCUGGCGUGAAAUCCCGCGGCUUAACCGCGGAACUGCGUUGGAUACUGCUCUGCUAGAGGACGGCAGAGGAGACUGGAAUUCACGGUGUAGCGGUGAAAUGCGUAGAUAUCGUGAGGAACACCGGUGGCGAAGGCGAGUCUCUGGACCGUUCCUGACACUCAGGGACGAAAGCGUGGGGAGCAAACG